rnacentral:rRNA from 1 species
UACGUAGGUGACGAGCGUUGUCCGGAUUUACUGGGCGUAAAGAGCGCGCAGGCGGUCGUUCAAGUCGAGUGUGAAAGCCCCCGGCUCAACUGGGGAGGGUCACUCGAUACUGAUCGACUUGAAGGCAGGAGAGGGAAGCGGAAUUCCCGGUGUAGUGGUGAAAUGCGUAGAUAUCGGGAGGAACACCAGUGGCGAAGGCGGCUUCCUGGCCUGUUCUUGACGCUGAGGCGCGAAAGCGUGGGGAGCAAACAGG